rnacentral:rRNA from 1 species
AUUCCCCUAGUAACUGCGAGUGAAGCGGGAAAAGCUCAAAUUUAAAAUCUGGUGGCCUUUGGCCAUCCGAGUUGUAAUUUAGAGAAGCGUCUUCCGCGCUGGACCGUGCACAAGUCUCCUGGAAUGGAGCGUCAUAGAGGGUGAGAAUCCCGUCUUUGGCACGGACUCCCGGUGCUUCUGUGAUGCGCUCUCGACGAGUCGAGUUGUUUGGGAAUGCAGCUCAAAAUGGGUGGUGAACUCCAUCUAAAGCUAAAUACUGGCGAGAGACCGAUAGCGAACAAGUACCGUGAGGGAAAGAUGAAAAGCACUUUGGAAAGAGAGUGAAACAGUACGUGAAAUUGUUGAAAGGGAAACGCUUGAAGUCAGUCGCGUCGACCGAGACUCAGCCUUGCCUCGGCUUGGUGUACUUCUCGGCUUGACGGGUCAGCAUCAAUUUCGAUCCUCGGAUAAUGGCAAGGGAAAGGUGGCACCUUUUUAGGUGUGUUAUAGUCCUCUGUCGCAUGUGAGGGUCGGGAUUGAGGAACUCAGCAUGCGCCUCCGGGUGUCGGGGCCUCGGCCCACGUUACGUGCUUAGGAUGCUGGCGUAAUGGCUUUAAACGACCCGUCUUGAAACACGGACCAAGGAGUCUAACAUACCCGCGAGUGUUCGGGUGGAAAACCCGUGCGCGCAAUGAAAGUAAAAGUUGGGACCUCUGUCGUGGAGGGCACCGACGCCCGGACCAGACCUUCUGUGACGGCUCUGCGGUAGAGCGUGUAUGUUGGGACCCGAAAGAUGGUGAACUAUGCCUGAAUAGGGUGAAGCCAGAGGAAACUCUGGUGGAGGCUCGUAGCGAUUCUGACGUGCAAAUCGAUCGUCAAAUUUGGGUAUAGGGGCGAAAGAC